rnacentral:rRNA from 1 species
UACGUAGGGCGCAAGCGUUGUCCGGAAUUAUUGGGCGUAAAGAGCUCGUAGGCGGCCUGUUGCGUCCGCUGUGAAAACCCGGGGCUUAACCCCGGGCUUGCAGUGGAUACGGGCAGGCUGGAGGCAGGCAGGGGAGAACGGAAUUCCCGGUGUGAGCGGUGAAAUGCGCAGAUAUCGGGAGGAACAUCAGUGGCGAAGGCGGCUGCCUGGCCCAAUACUGACACUCAGGUGCGACAGCGAUGGGGAGCAAACAGGGAUUAAGAAACC